GACGAACGCUGGCGGCGUGCCUAAUACAUGCAAGUCGAACGGAAAGGUCAUGCGCUUGCGGGGUUCUCGAGUGGCGAACGGGUGUGUAACACGCGAGUAAACCCUCCCUGACUUCGGGAUAACUUCUGGAAAAUGGGGUGAAUAUCGGAUAGGAGCUCCAGCUGCAUGGUGGGGCAUGGAAAGUAUCGGCGGUGUGGGAUCGACUCGCGGCUUAUCAGCUUGUUGGUGGGGUAGUGACUUACAAAGGUUUUGACGGGUAGCCGGCCUGAGAGGGUGACCAGGCACAUUGGGACUAAGAGAGGGCCCAGAAUCGUACGGGAGGCAACAGUGGAGAGUCUUACACAGUGAGCGGGAGCCUGAUACAGCAGCGCCGCGUGCGGGAUGACGGCCUUCGAGUUAUAAACCGCUUUCGCCUGUGACGAAGCGUGCGUGACGGUAAUGAAUAAGGAAGCAACGGCUAACUACGUG
rnacentral:rRNA from 1 species